UACGUAGGUGGCAAGCGUUGUCCGGAUUUACUGGGUGUAAAGGGCGUGCAGCCGGGCUGACAAGUCAGAUGUGAAAUCCCGCGGCUCAACCGCGGAACUGCAUUUGAAACUGUCAGUCUUGAGUACCGGAGAGGUCAUCGGAAUUCCUUGUGUAGCGGUGAAGUGCGUAGAUAUAAGGAAGAACACCAGUGGCGAAGGCGGAUGACUGGACGGCAACUGACGGUGAGGCGCGAAAGCGUGGGGAGCAAACAGG
rnacentral:rRNA from 1 species